UACGUAGGGGGCAAGCGUUGUCCGGAAUCAUUGGGCGUAAAGCGCGUGUAGGCGGCUUGAUAAGUCUGCUCUGAAAGCCCGGGGCUCAACCCCGGGAGGCGGGUGGAUACUGUCAAGCUCGAGUCCGGAAGAGGAGUGUGGAAUUCCUGGUGUAGCGGUGAAAUGCGCAGAUAUCUGGAGGAACACCGGUGGCGAAGGCGGCAUCCUGGACCAUUACUGACGCUGACGAGCGAAAGCCAGGGGAGCAAACGGG
rnacentral:rRNA from 1 species